CACGUGAAGGAAAGACUGUUAGAACUCGCUGAAUUCGCUGAAGUUAUUAGUUGGUGUGUUCUUUAGCUUCUUUACGGUCUAUUAUUCUUCUAUGUGUGAUUUACGUUAGUGCCAUGGAUUGUCGAACGCAGUGUGGAUCAUAUGUAUCGUGAAUGGUUAAGAGAGGUGAGAGAGUGACCAUGAAAGCGUAACUUACUUGUAUGAGGAAGUUCAUCUUUAAAUCUGUCUUCACACAUCCUUGUUAGAGGUAUAUUUACACGUUGAUUGUCAUGAAGUCCUAUGAUUACUUCUACUUCUACCUCUAUCCUGGGCUUCUUUUCCUCAUCAGUCUAUUGCAUUGCCAAGCUGUCCUCUCACAUAACUUAUGAAGAACUGUAAGGUAAGUCACAGCUCUUAUACAGUGAUUUACUCAAAUAUUGCAACAGCAAAAUCAGAGUGUUCUCAUGUUUCAAACUAUUGUGUCUGAAAGUGUCAGUUAUAUAAUUGAAUCUGCAAAAAUGUAUAGAAAGUCAAAUAAAUUUUUGGCACUUUAAAUGCAA